AAGUCGUAACAAGGUUUCCGUAGGUGAACCUGCGGAAGGAUCAUUACCGAGACUCCUGAAAAGGAACUCCCACCCUUGACAAUUCGACGUUGCUUCGGCGAGACGUUGGAAACAGCCGUUGGUGGAAGAUCAAUUCUGCCGACGCGAGCUCGCCGGAGUCCACAUACUCUGAAUUUGUAUCGUCAGAUAAACAAGCAAUAUAAAAAACUUUCAACAACGGAUCUCUUGGUUUUG
rnacentral:misc_RNA from 1 species